AAAAAUUAAAAAAUAUUAAAUGUAAUAUUAUAAUGUAUGUAUAUAUGUACAUAUAUUGUUUGUACAGUAAUAUUGUUAAUGACUUUUAACAUUCUCGUUGUAGUCUUUUACAUUAUUGGACAAUGAAUUAUGCCAAAGCUAAAAUAUAUAUAAUUAUAUUACUUAUAACUAAGCAUAAAGGUAAAAUGCUUUUUUUUUUUCAAUGUUAUGGUGUGGUUUUAGUAAAAAAAAAAUCUGACAUUCUGAGACAUGAAACAAAUUGCAAUGUUUUAUGGCAUUGUUUUAGUUAAGACUCUCUAUCUCUCCCUCUCUAUUGUUGCAGAGAUAGUUCUUUUCCUGCCCACAAAAAGCCUUCUUCAUCUAAAAAGAGGGCAACUGAUGACUUCCAGAGCCCCGGGAGGUUCUACGAUGAGCUCCCAAACACGGCCGACUAUGUGAGUUACCGUUUGGCAUGUAACAAAGAGGAUUAUCUGGAGCAACACUCUCCUCCCAUUCAACCUCCCUUGACCUUCCUGCCCCAAAAUCCCUACACUCAGCACCGUAACAAGACCGCUAUAUUCACGUACCCCACACCCCCCGGCCCAGUCUCUUCAUACUCCUUCCCGAAAGAACAGUAUGUAUAAAUAUAUUUGUGACCUGUCUCUUUUUGUCUUUCUUCAAUUGCUCUGGUCAUUGUGUAGCUACUUUUCUUAAACUGUGAAUAGAUCUUUAAAAAAAUAUAUAUUAUUCUCCAAGCAUAAUUAGAUUUGCAUGCAUUUUUUAAAAUUUUUAUAAUAAUAUUAAUAUUAAUAUAAAACGUCAUUGUCUUAAAGUAGGUCAGUGGUUUAAUCAGUCUGGACACCCCAUUUAUAACAGACCCAUAUUGUGUAUUGUAUUCUGUACAAUUAUGCAUCACUCCAUUGUUUUAUGUCAUUUCUGAACAGGUCUUUUUGCUGCUUUCGUAAUAGUACAUUUGAGACAAUAAUAUUGUAGCAGUAGAAAUAUAUUUCCUAAGCUAAAUUCUUAAAUAUAAUUAAAAUAAAGAAAUAUUGUAUGUAUGAUUUGUUUUUGAUAAUAUCUACUACUGUAUUUAAUUGUGUGAAACUUGCAACAAUCACAUGAUCGGACCAAUAUUUCACAAAAUAAUCAUUAUUCACUUUUCUUUGCAUCUUUAAACUGUAUAUGCUGUAUUUAAAUGUAUGUGAGAGUGUUUUUGUUUUUUUACAUGCACACCAGCAAAUUCCAGGAAGCAUUUAUGUAGAACUGUGAUUCUCUUUGGUCAUUUGUCCUUUAUUAUUGUUUACAUUAUACUUUGUGACAAUCAUGCACUAUGGUUUAAAGUUCUUCCAUGCACUGCAGUUCUAAUCACUGCUUAAGGAGUAUUUAAAUAGUGUAUAGAGCAUGAGAAAGUGUGCAAAAAUGUGACAGAUUAUAUUUUAUGUAUUGUUGUAUUGUUACAGUUACCAUAAGGUAUUGGAAAAGCUGUUAUGAAAUAUUUGAAUAUUUUAACCACUUGGAUUUUUUUGUUUCUUUUUUUCUACUAAUAAAUACAUAAA
rnacentral:lncRNA from 1 species